GAUGAAGAACGCAGCGAAAUGCGAUAAGUAAUGCGAAUUGCAGAAUUUCCGUGAAUCAUCGAAUCUUUGAACGCACAUUGCGCCCGCUGGUACUCCGGCGGGCACGCCUGUCCGAGCGUCAUUUCAACCCUCAAGCCCUCCUUCGGGAUGGGCCUGGUGUUGGGGCUCGGCCGCCAUCUCCGGCGGCCGUCCCCUAAAUACAGUGGCGGUCACGUCGCGACUCCUUUGCGUAGUAGAAACACCUCGCUCCGGAUAGCAACGCGGUCCACGCCGUAAAAUCCCCAAUUUUCAAUGGUUGACCUCGGAUCAGGUGGGAAUACCCGCUGAACUUAAGCAUAUCAAUAAGCGGAGGA
rnacentral:misc_RNA from 1 species